rnacentral:rRNA from 1 species
UGGAAGUAAAAGUCGUAACAAGGUUUCCGUAGGUGAACCUGCGGAAGGAUCAUUACCGAGUGAGGGCCCUCUGGGUCCAACCUCCCACCCGUGUUUAUUUUACCUUGUUGCUUCGGCGGGCCCGCCUUAACUGGCCGCCGGGGGGCUUACGCCCCCGGGCCCGCGCCCGCCGAAGACACCCUCGAACUCUGUCUGAAGAUUGUAGUCUGAGUGAAAAUAUAAAUUAUUUAAAACUUUCAACAACGGAUCUCUUGGUUCCGGCAUCGAUGAAGAACGCAGCGAAAUGCGAUACGUAAUGUGAAUUGCAAAUUCAGUGAAUCAUCGAGUCUUUGAACGCACAUUGCGCCCCCUGGUAUUCCGGGGGGCAUGCCUGUCCGAGCGUCAUUUCUGCCCUCAAGCACGGCUUGUGUGUUGGGCCCCGUCCUCCGAUCCCGGGGGACGGGCCCGAAAGGCAGCGGCGGCACCGCGUCCGGUCCUCGAGCGUAUGGGGCUUUGUCACCCGCUCUGUAGGCCCGGCCGGCGCUUGCCGAUCAACCCAAAUUUUUAUCCAGGUUGACCUCGGAUCAGGUAGGGAUACCCGCUGAACUUAAGCAUAUCUAGCACGGGAAGGAAUAAGCGAGUGAGGA